AGAGUUUGAUCCUGGCUCAGGAUGAACGCUAGCUACAGGCUUAACACAUGCAAGUCGAGGGGCAGCAUGGUCUUAGCUUGCUAAGGCCGAUGGCGACCGGCGCACGGGUGAGUAACACGUAUCCAACCUGCCGUCUACUCUUGGACAGCCUUCUGAAAGGAAGAUUAAUACAAGAUGGCAUCAUGAGUCCGCAUGUUCACAUGAUUAAAGGUAUUCCGGUAGACGAUGGGGAUGCGUUCCAUUAGAUAGUAGGCGGGGUAACGGCCCACCUAGUCUUCGAUGGAUAGGGGUUCUGAGAGGAAGGUCCCCCACAUUGGAACUGAGACACGGUCCAAACUCCUACGGGAGGCAGCAGUGAGGAAUAUUGGUCAAUGGGCGAGAGCCUGAACCAGCCAAGUAGCGUGAAGGAUGACUGCCCUAUGGGUUGUAAACUUCUUUUAUAAAGGAAUAAAGUCGGGUAUGGAUACCCGUUUGCAUGUACUUUAUGAAUAAGGAUCGGCUAACUCCGUGCCAGCAGCCGCGGUAAUACGGAGGAUCCGAGCGUUAUCCGGAUUUAUUGGGUUUAAAGGGAGCGUAGAUGGAUGUUUAAGUCAGUUGUGAAAGUUUGCGGCUCAACCGUAAAAUUGCAGUUGAUACUGGAUAUCUUGAGUGCAGUUGAGGCAGGCGGAAUUCGUGGUGUAGCGGUGAAAUGCUUAGAUAUCACGAAGAACUCCGAUUGCGAAGGCAGCCUGCUAAGCUGCAACUGACAUUGAGGCUCGAAAGUGUGGGUAUCAAACAGGAUUAGAUACCCUGGUAGUCCACACGGUAAACGAUGAAUACUCGCUGUUUGCGAUAUACAGCAAGCGGCCAAGCGAAAGCGUUAAGUAUUCCACCUGGGGAGUACGCCGGCAACGGUGAAACUCAAAGGAAUUGACGGGGGCCCGCACAAGCGGAGGAACAUGUGGUUUAAUUCGAUGAUACGCGAGGAACCUUACCCGGGCUUAAAUUGCAGAUGAAUUACGGUGAAAGCCGUAAGCCGCAAGGCAUCUGUGAAGGUGCUGCAUGGUUGUCGUCAGCUCGUGCCGUGAGGUAUCGGCUUAAGUGCCAUAACGAGCGCAACCCUUGUUGUCAGUUACUAACAGGUUCCGCUGAGGACUCUGACAAGACUGCCAUCGUAAGAUGUGAGGAAGGUGGGGAUGACGUCAAAUCAGCACGGCCCUUACGUCCGGGGCUACACACGUGUUACAAUGGGGGGUACAGAGGGCCGCUACCACGCGAGUGGAUGCCAAUCCCCAAAACCUCUCUCAGUUCGGACUGGAGUCUGCAACCCGACUCCACGAAGCUGGAUUCGCUAGUAAUCGCGCAUCAGCCACGGCGCGGUGAAUACGUUCCCGGGCCUUGCACACACCGCCCGUCAAG
rnacentral:rRNA from 1 species